rnacentral:misc_RNA from 1 species
GAUGAAGAACGUAGCGAAAUGCGAUAAGUAAUGUGAAUUGCAGAAUCCAGUGAAUCAUCGAAUCUUUGAACGCACAUUGCGCCCGCCAGCAUUCUGGCGGGCAUGCCUGUUCGAGCGUCAUUUCAACCCUCGACCUCCCUUUGGGGAAGUCGGCGUUGGGGACCGGCAGCACACCGCCGGCCCUGAAAUGGAGUGGCGGCCCGUCCGCGGCGACCUCUGCGUAGUAAUCCAACUCGCACCGGAACCCCGCCGCGGCCACGCCGUAAAACACCCAACUUCUGAACGUUGACCUCGAAUCAGGUAGGACUACCCGCUGAACUUAAGCAUAUCAAUAAGCGGAGGA